GGCCCACCUGGCUUCCAAGCCCACUCCGCCGCCCCCGCCGCCGCGUCCUCCUCCAAUCCUCCCUCUCGUCGACGGCGCCGGCGCCCUCGACCUCGCCUCAGCCGCCGCCACGGCUCCACCAACUCCGCGUCUUUGCUCCUGCCGCCCGCGACCUCGGCGGGAUGCGAGUAGCUGCUCGUUCCGUGCGCGCUGGAGAUCCACUGCACUGCACCGCCGAUUCGGAUGUUCUGAACUGGAGGAAUCCCAGCAGUACCGUCUAAAUGGUUAUUCUGGUAUAUGAGCCGUCACCACAGAGAGUUUCAGUUGUUUAGACAGAGCGUUUCACACUGAACCGAAGAAAGAGCCAGGAGAUGGUGACGCUGAUCAACCUUGUGCUCAAAACAGGAAACGCGAAGGAAGAAAUCUGCAGUAGACAGGGACCCUGCAUCUCUCCAUUCAUUUCGCGGGUGCUGCUCCGUCCUCGCAACCACAUGGGGCCCUCCCUUGGAGCCUUGAUCUCCAGGCGCUAUGCUCUCCAGUGGCCGGGCCGGCCAGCCCGGCGAGCCGCCGGCCACGGCGUCCCGGGAGAUAAGGCAAGCUAGGCGUGAACGCCAUGGAGCUGGAACGCCUCGGAUGCCAUCUCGUCUGGCCUUGGCCGCAAUCCUCGCGCUCAUGUGCGCCACAUGUACGCUGUCGGCGAGGCCAUGGACAGCCGCAUGUUACCGCGGAAAUCUGAAUGGAUGGGCGCGGCAAGUGUGCGAGUGCGAGGGCAAGCGCCCCAGAUUCAGCUCGCUCGCCAGAGCAGGGCUUUCUGUUGGAGCCUUGACCGGCCAGCUCUGGCUGUGCCGGCCAACUUGGUAGCUUGGUUGCCACUUGACAGGGGCCAAGUGGAAUGGAAUGGUGAAGCAAGAUUGGGCUGCAUCUUGUGCCCAUCCUUGGCAAUCUUCGGAGCACAUGUUCUCAAUGGGGUGCCAGCUGAAGAGGAACAAGUGUGUUUGUGUUGUUGCAUGAAUUUUUGUUCUCUCUUUUAGCAAAGAUUCUUAGUACAGGGGUUAACUUUGUGGUGGAGAUUGGAGGAGAAAAACUCCAUGUCCUUGAAAGGGCUAGUGGAUUUGUUGAUGCAAGAAGGAUUAGUGGAUGGAACUGAAUCUGUCAACUGAUGAAUUCGUGGAUCCAAUGCCUUUUGAGAGUGAGCUGAUGAACUGAACCUUUGUGUGCCCCUUGCAUUCCGCAACCAAAGGAUUGAUGUUCUUGCGUUGCACAAACAAAAGGAGAUAUAUGGAUAGAUAAAACUCAUCAGAGGGGAAAACAACCCUGUUUCCCCCUCCUGCACUUACAGAAGAAACCAAGCACUGAUAGAUAAAACUUGAAAGUGAUCUUUGGCUUUGUACAAACACACAUGGAGAUGUCAACUCGAAUCUCCACUCCUUUUGUGUUGCUAACACCUAGCAGUAGCAGUAAAAAAAAA